AGCGAUGAAAUUUCGACAGAUCCCUUCGGGGUGAAGAUGAAAUGGAUUAGCGGCGGACGGGUGAGUAACACGUGAGUAACCUGCCUUAGACAUUGGGAUAGCCUCGGGAAACCGGGAUUAAUACCAAAUGAAAUCACAUAUGCACAUGCAUAAAUGAUCAAAGCUCCGGCGGUCUAAGAUGGACUCGCGUCCCAUUAGCUAGUUGGUGAGGUAACGGCCCACCAAGGCGACGAUGGGUAGCCGGCCUGAGAGGGUGAACGGCCACAUUGGAACUGAGAAACGGUCCAAACUCCUACGGGAGGCAGCAGUGGGGAAUAUUGCACAAUGGGCGCAAGCCUGAUGCAGCAACGCCGCGUGAACGAUGAAGGUCUUCGGAUCGUAAAGUUCUGUUGCAGGGGAAGAUAAUGACGGUACCCUGUGAGGAAGCCCCGGCUAACUACGUGCCAGCAGCCGCGGUAAUACGUAGGGGGCUAGCGUUAUCCGGAUUUACUGGGCGUAAAGGGUGCGUAGGUGGUCUUUCAAGUCGGUGGUUAAAGGCUACGGCUCAACCGUAGUUAGCCUCCGAAACUGGAAGACUUGAGUGCAGGAGAGGAAAGUGGAAUUCCCAGUGUAGCGGUGAAAUGCGUAGAUAUUGGGAGGAACACCAGUAGCGAAGGCGGCUUUCUGGACUGCAACUGACACUGAGGCACGAAAGCGUGGGUAGCAAACAGGAUUAGAUACCCUGGUAGUCCACGCUGUAAACGAUGAGUACUAGGUGUCGGGGGUUACCCCCCUCGGUGCCGCAGCUAACGCAUUAAGUACUCCGCCUGGGGAGUACGCACGCA
rnacentral:rRNA from 1 species